rnacentral:rRNA from 1 species
UACGUAGGGUGCAAGCGUUAAUCGGAAUUACUGGGCGUAAAGCGUGCGCAGGCGGUUGUGCAAGACCGAUGUGAAAUCCCCGGGCUUAACCUGGGAAUGGCAUUGGUGACUGCACGGCUAGAGUGUGUCAGAGGGGGGUAGAAUUCCACGUGUAGCAGUGAAAUGCGUAGAGAUGUGGAGGAAUACCGAUGGCGAAGGCAGCCCCCUUGGAUAACACUGACGCUCAUGCACGAAAGCGUGGGGAGCAAACAGG